CAGGCCUAACACAUGCAAGUCGAACGAUGGUCUUCGGAUCAUAGUGGCGCACGGGUGCGUAACGCGUGGGAAUCUGCCCUGGGGUCUGGGAUAACCGUUGGAAACGACGGCUAAUACCGGAUGAUGAUGAAAAUCCAAAGAUUUAUCGCCCUGGGAUGAGCCCGCGUCGGAUUAGGUAGUUGGUGGGGUAAAGGCCUACCAAGCCGACGAUCCGUAGCUGGUCUGAGAGGAUGAUCAGCCACACUGGGACUGAGACACGGCCCAGACUCCUACGGGAGGCAGCAGUGGGGAAUAUUGGACAAUGGGCGAAAGCCUGAUCCAGCAAUGCCGCGUGAGUGAUGAAGGCCUUAGGGUUGUAAAGCUCUUUUACCCGGGAUGAUAAUGACAGUACCGGGAGAAUAAGCCCCGGCUAACUCCGUGCCAGCAGCCGCGGUAAU
rnacentral:rRNA from 1 species